UCAUGACCUGAGCUGAAAUCAAGAGUUGGACAUUUAACCGACUGAGCCACCCUGGUGCCCCUACAUGACCUCUUUACAAUUAGAAAACAAAAACAAAAACAAAAGGCUUGAGAGACUUCUGGCAAAACCAAAGGGUAAAAGAGCAAGGGCAAAUGAAGGGAGGACCAGGGGUGACAAGGACUUCUGAGGUGCCGGUAACAUUGUAUUUUUUAAUCUAGAUGGUGGUCUGCAGAUGUAUUCACUUGAGGACCAUUCCCAGAGUUGUAUGCUUAUUCACUUUUUUGCACCUAUGUUAUACUUCAAUAUAACAACAUAUUUAAAAGUAACAUGGAAGGGGGAGUUAUGCAGGAAAAAAAAAACCCUAGUUGGUUCCUUUCUUCAUUAUAACAUACGAGUAGAUAGUUUUAAUAUCCAGAGAUGUUUCAAAACCAAUCUUUGGUUUCACACAGCGGUCUAGAAUUAGAACACUUGAUUAUAACCAAGACAUAAGGUCUUCUAAGUUAAAAAGAUCUCCAGAAAGGAACUCUGGGUGCUUUAAAAGAAUAUACUAAUUUCUCCCCCAAAUACAACGAUAAUACAGUGCAAAAUACACAGAACGAAUACGACAACCAAAGCUCGGGCACAACCUUUAUCGGGCAAAUGGAACAGAGGCGUCGAGAUGGGGACUACCUAUUCUCUGGACCGCACAAAGCCAGGGCACACCCUUAGGGAAAGAAGAAAGGAUCAAUGUGUCAGAUCCAGAACUUGAAUUGAUUCUACUUUCUAUCUCAAAAAAGAAGAAAGCAGUCCGCAUGGCAACCACAAUUGUACCUUUUAUUUUCCAUGAAAGGUAUUCAGCUAGUCAGUGGUUCCCAUUCCCGGAUGCACAUUAAAAUCACCUGGGGGAGAUUUUAAAACAUUCUGAAAUACUGGGCUUGAUUGAAGAUUAUUUUUUUUAAAGUUCCUUACCUGAUUCUGAUGUGAACCCAGGGUUGAAUACUAAUUUAGGUAGUACUGAAUCGUGUUCCACUUGGUUCUUUCCCUGUUCCCAAUAUUUUGUGUUCUGAUACCUUAGCUAAUUAUGACUAUUCUAAUUUAUAGGAUUGUUUCCUUUUCUGGUACUAAUUAUUAAUACCUCUUCAUAAAAAGCAAGCAAGCCUGAAGAGCUUGAUUACAAUUCUCAGGAAAAUCAAUAUUUGCAUGUAGGACAAGGAAGGAAAAGAAACUGAGACGGACAAGUCCCGGUGGCCAGACCAGCAGGUGAUGUCACAGGGAAUGAACAUGAAACUCCUUCCAGGAUAAUUUAGAUUGUAAAAACUAGCUUCUUAGAACCCUGACUAAUCAAUACCGGAAGUGACUGAAUACGGACAAUCAAGGCUACUUCUCCUUUAAUACUAGCCCCUGUUUUGCUUGGCAAACAGGCUUCAGAGAAAGAUAAAGAGGCUUUUCAAAAGGGCAGGGAUGCAUUUCAAUACUCACGUCUUCUCCAAACACUGGAGUCUCACACAGACAUGAUGUGUCAGUUACGCCGUAUCCUAGCAACAUCUCACAAAGAGAAGAGUAUGUGAUGCCAAGCAAGGCUUAACCUAGUGUUCAAAUGUAAGUCAUGAGGUGGCCUCGCUUUGGGGAAUCCUGUUCAAGUAAACGUUACCCGAGGAAAGUGUGUGCUAGCACCGGGCAUCUUCCCCCCUAAAGAAAGGAGGUGGGGGGAGGUGGUUCUCACUCCAGAGUUUCACCCACUUGUUUUUCACUCCUGAAGCUUCGGUGUAGCCGUGGCUCCAUACAGCUGGGGCUCCAGAUCCAUCUCCUGCUGAAGGCUGAUCAAUCUUGAAACAGCGGAUGUUACUAACGAGAAAAGGAAGAGACGGGAAUCGUUAGGAUCAAAUAAUGUGUGAAUUGCUCCCUUUGUCUGCUAAGCGCCAGAAGUUGUCAUUCCUACCAAGAAAAGAGGGGCACUGAAUGAGUCUGCCGUUAUCUGCUCUUCAUGGGACCCUGCUAGCAGAUUUCAUCCAUGCACAACGUUUUGUUCUAAGACAACGGAAGAGGACUUUUAGCAGGAGACAGCACAACAGGGCUUAAGCAUAGAAGGCAAACACAAUGACUAACGUGUGUCAGUGUCCAAGACUUAAGCUGGCUGCAAGAAAAUUCAGAAAAGCUUAAAGGCCACACCCCAGACUUCUGGGCCUAUCAGCUCACUUCUCUUCAGCCUUAGGGGCAGAGGACUUUGAAGAGCAUGACGGUGACCACGUCACUGCCUACUUCCUGAGGACUUAGCCACGAGCGCUCCUUUCGUUCAUCUGCAUGUAUCCAUGUCCCACCGCAUAUGAUGCACGCGGCGUUUUGUUGGAAAGGACAUGGCUCUGAAGUUAAAAGGAUCUGCUGAAAUAAUUGUUUCAACUAGAGUUUAAAAACCAUCAAACAGGGGCGCCUGGGUGGCUCAGUCGGUUGAGCGUCCCACUUCGGCUCAGGUCACGAUCUCGCGGUUCGUGAGUUCGAGCCCCGCGUCGGGCUCUGGGCUGACAGCUCAGAGCCUGGAGCCUGCU